rfam:Oryza glaberrima chromosome 1 Oglab01_0302_23, whole genome shotgun sequence.
AUUCAGUUGUGAAUUUCUGUCUAACAUUUAACUAUCUAUUUUAUUUAUUUUUUUAUAUUGAAUAUUUUUAUAUUUAUUAGAUGAUAAAACAUAAAUAAUAUUUUAUGAGUGAUUUAUUAUUUUUAAACUCAUAAAUUUUUUAAAUAAGACAAAUAAUUAAACGUUAGAUAUAAAAACUCACACCUGCAUGAAAC